CUCGACUAAAUCUCCUUAUUGCCGCCAACCAAUCUUUCUCACAUAUAUUAAUCUGCAAAAGCUUAGCCCAUUUAUUCAUAUACUUAUUUUUCGAGCCCGAUGUUAAACAAGAUAUUAAAGCAUAUGAUUUAGCCAUUACCUUGGGGAUUGUGUGUUUGCAAAAUAUCUUGUAGAAUUGUCAUUAACUGUACUUCUCAUUUCAUAAGGGAAUUUUGUAAGAAAGCCUUUACCCUAAGAUAAGAAAACAACUCUUUAUGAGGUAAAGCAUACUCAAGAUUCAAACUUGGGAAGGUUUUCAUUAUCCCAUCUUUAUAUAAGUCUGAAACCUUAUCAAUGCCUCGACUUUUCCAAGUAGCUAAUGAUAGAUCUUGGAUAUUAUUUUCCAAAACUUUAAUACUAAUACUAUUUAUAAUUUUAUUAUUCCCUCCCAUCUUGUUCUUUAAAAAAGACAAAAACUUUCCAAGAUGACCAAUGAUAAAACAAUUCUCUUCUAAUUCCUUCCAGUUCGGGUAAUGAAUAUUCCAUAAUAAACAAGAGAGAUAUUUUAUCUGAGUCUGAUAGCUCUCUAU